UACGGAGGGGGCUAGCGUUGUUCGGAAUUACUGGGCGCAAAGCGCGCGUAGGCGGACCUGCAAGUCGGGGGUGAAAGCCCGAGGCUCAACCUCGGAACUGCCUUCGAUACUGCGGGUCUCGAGUCCGGGAGAGGUGAGUGGAAUUCCUAGUGUAGAAGUGAAAUUCGUAGAUAUUAGGAAGAACACCAGUGGCGAAGGCGGCUCACUGGCCCGGUAUUGACGCUGAGGCGCGAAAGCGUGGGGAGCAAACAGG
rnacentral:rRNA from 1 species